GAUGAACGCUGGCGGCGUGCCUAAUACAUGCAAGUCGAGCGAACGGACGAGAAGCUUGCUUCUCUGAUGUUAGCGGCGGACGGGUGAGUAACACGUGGAUAACCUACCUAUAAGACUGGGAUAACUUCGGGAAACCGGAGCUAAUACCGGAUAAUAUUUUGAACCGCAUGGUUCAAAAGUGAAAGACGGUCUUGCCGCCACUUAUAGAUGGAUCCGCGCUGCAUUAGCUAGUUGGUAAGGUAACGGCUUACCAAGGCAACGAUGCAUAGCCGACCUGAGAGGGUGAUCGCCCACACUGGAACUGGGACACGGUCCAGACUCCUACGGGAGGCAGCAGUAGGGAAUCUUCCGCAAUGGGCGAAAGCCUGACGGAGCAACGCCACGUGAGUGAUGAAGGUUUUCGGAUCGUAAAACUCUGUUAUUAGGGAAGAACAUAUGUGUAAGUAACUGUGCACAUCUUGACGGUACCUAAUCAGAAAGCCACGGCUAACUACGUG
rnacentral:rRNA from 1 species